rnacentral:rRNA from 1 species
UACAGGGGGUGCAAACGUUGCUCGGAAUUACUGGGCGUAAAGGGCGCGUAGGCGGCCUGUUAAGUCGAACGUGAAAUCCCCGGGCUCAACCCGGGAACUGCGUCCGAUACUGGCAGGCUUGAAUCCGGGAGAGGGAUGUGGAAUUCCAGGUGUAGCGGUGAAAUGCGUAGAUAUCUGGAGGAACAUCGGUGGCGAAGGCGGCAUCCUGGACCGGUAUUGACGCUGAGGCGCGAAAGCCAGGGGAGCAAAGCGGG